UCCAUUGUGGCUCAGCUGGUAGAGAAUCUGCCUGCAAUGCAGGAGACCUGGGUUUGAUCCCUGGGUUGGGA
rnacentral:tRNA from 1 species